rnacentral:rRNA from 1 species
CGGCGAGUGGCGAACGGGUGAGUAAUACAUCGGAACGUGCCCUGUAGUGGGGGAUAACUAGUCGAAAGAUUAGCUAAUACCGCAUACGACCUGAGGGUGAAAGUGGGGGACCGCAAGGCCUCAUGCUAUAGGAGCGGCCGAUGUCUGAUUAGCUAGUUGGUGGGGUAAAGGCCUACCAAGGCGACGAUCAGUAGCUGGUCUGAGAGGACGAUCAGCCACACUGGGACUGAGACACGGCCCAGACUCCUACGGGAGGCAGCAGUGGGGAAUUUUGGACAAUGGGCGAAAGCCUGAUCCAGCAAUGCCGCGUGUGUGAAGAAGGCCUUCGGGUUGUAAAGCACUUUUGUCCGGAAAGAAAUGGCUCUGGUUAAUACCUGGGGUCGAUGACGGUACCGGAAGAAUAAGGACCGGCUAACUACGUGCCAGCAGCCGCGGUAAUACGUAGGGUCCAAGCGUUAAUCGGAAUUACUGGGCGUAAAGCGUGCGCAGGCGGUUGUGCAAGACCGAUGUGAAAUCCCCGAGCUUAACUUGGGAAUUGCAUUGGUGACUGCACGGCUAGAGUGUGUCAGAGGGGGGUAGAAUUCCACGUGUAGCAGUGAAAUGCGUAGAGAUGUGGAGGAAUACCGAUGGCGAAGGCAGCCCCCUGGGAUAACACUGACGCUCAUGCACGAAAGCGUGGGGAGCAAACAGGAUUAGAUACCCUGGUAGUCCACGCCCUAAACGAUGUCAACUAGUUGUUGGGGAUUCAUUUCCUUAGUAACGUAGCUAACGCGUGAAGUUGACCGCCUGGGGAGUACGGUCGCAAGAUUAAAACUCAAAGGAAUUGACGGGGACCCGCACAAGCGGUGGAUGGAUGUGGAUUAAUUCGAUGCAACGCGAAAAACCUU